ensembl:lncRNA
CAUGUCCAUCCAUACACGUGUGUCCGAGCGGAGGAGAAAGUCGGCUCUGCUGAUAUCGCUCCUAAACGUGGGCCAUUAUCCUCUCAAACACAGGCACGCCCGACUCUUAUCUCCGCACCUGAGUGACUAGGGCGAUGACAGCUCCAGCAGCUGACAGCACGACUCGGCCACAUCGCAUCAGAUAAGCACUAUAGACCAUCCCGAGGCAGGCAGCAGAGAAAGGUGGUUCAGAUGGACCACAAACUGGAGAGUGUCCUGAAGAUCCUGAUGGAACAGUUCCAACUCGAACCAGAGCUGCUUCAGAAACCAAGCCACUGCAGCUCCCGCUUAAUGAAACGCCAGAGUGGCAGCAUGAAGAAAGGACAAUGAGAGCAACAGAAAGCAGGCAAGAUUGGAAGACAUCUUUUAAUAAGGAAUGUGGAAACUGUAAUGUCCAUAUGGAAACUUGAUAAUAAACCGGCCAAGCUAGCAAGAGAGUUUCGCUUCCAAUGUGUCUUCCAAAGACAACAUGCAAUGUGUUCAACACUUUACUAGCUUGCAGCAUAGGGAAGUCAUUCAGAGUUCCCUCCUUAUUUGAUUUCCAUCACUUUAGUUAUUAAAGAUGGAUAGCUGAAAAUCCUGCUAUUUUGGAAGAAGAAAAAUCUCUGAUUCAAAAUAUGCUACAUGGACUCAUGUCAAGAGAACGAUUGUGAUCUUAAACUACUGCAGCACAAGGGGAGAGUGAUAGAGUUUAUUCAUCCCACAUGUUAAUGUGCACGUUAGUAAGUGUGAACACGUUUUGCAUGAGUUAGAUUCACCACUGAUAAAUAGAUAUGGCAGAGAUAAUCAAAACAGCGAAACGCUGCUGAUGGGGUUUAAUGGACUUAAAUGGAAUGUAAGAAAGGAAGAGGGAGAGCUGUUUGAGGUUGUGGACUCAGUAAGCAGUGCCAAGGCUUUCAACAGCCUAUUCAUUUUACAAUUUCACCGGAUUACUCCCAUUAAGUAUGUGAUUAUUUUUUCUCGCUCUAGCUAUUUGAAUGCAAAACUUCUGGUAAAGGUGAGGUGGCUAGAUGCCAGAUGCCAGCAUUUGAUGAAAGGAAAAUACAGUAAAAAGUAGAUUUGCUUUCAGUAACCGCAAGCAGAAAUAACAGAGUGAGGGAGAACAGAGAGAUAAGGUGCUUGCACUCCAUUCACAAGUCACGCUCAUCUGUUGGCACCUUGCCUGGCACAGAACAAAUAGGUCUGUGGUUUUGCUUUUUAAUGUGUUAAUUAAACAUGUUCUUUUAUCACAG